rnacentral:rRNA from 1 species
GAUGAACGCUGGCGGCGUGCCUAAUACAUGCAAGUCGAGCGAACAGACGAGGAGCUUGCUCCUCUGACGUUAGCGGCGGACGGGUGAGUAACACGUGGAUAACCUACCUAUAAGACUGGGAUAACUUCGGGAAACCGGAGCUAAUACCGGAUAAUAUAUUGAACCGCAUGGUUCAAUAGUGAAAGACGGUUUUGCUGUCACUUAUAGAUGGAUCCGCGCUGCAUUAGCUAGUUGGUAAGGUAACGGCUUACCAAGGCAACGAUGCGUAGCCGACCUGAAAGGGGGAUAGGCCACACUGGAGGGGAGCCGCGGUCCAGACUCCUGAGAGAGGCAGCAGUCGGGAAUGGGACGCAGUAGGGGAGAGUAUGACGGAGCGGCGCCACGUGUGUGGUGGAGGUCUUCGGAUCGUAAAACUCUGUUAUUGGGGAAAAACAAAUGUGUACGUAACUAUGCACGUCUUGACGGUACCUAAAGAGAAAGCCACGGCUAACUACGUG